rnacentral:rRNA from 2 species
GUACCGCAAACCGACACAGGUAGUCGAGGAGAGUAUCCUAAGGUGAGCGAGUGAACUCUCGUUAAGGAACUCGGCAAAAUGACCCCGUAACUUCGGGAGAAGGGGUGCUGCACGCAAGUGCAGCCGCAGUGAAAAGGCCCAGGCGACUGUUUAUCAAAAACACAGGUUUCUGCAAAAUCGAAAGAUGACGUAUAGGGGCUGACGCCUGCCCGGUGCUGGAAGGUUAAGUGGAUGAGUUAGCUUCGGCGAAGCCCAGAAAUGAAGCCCCAGUAAACGGCGGCCGUAACUAUAACGGUCCUAAGGUAGCGAAAUUCCUUGUCGGGUAAGUUCCGACCCGCACGAAAGGCGUAACGAUCUGGGCACUGUCUCAACGAGAGACUCGGUGAAAUUAUAUUACCUGUGAAGAUGCAGGUUACCCGCGACAGGACGGAAAGACCCCAUGGAGCUUUACUGUAGCUUGAUAUUGGGUGUUGACACAGCUUGUACAGGAUAGGUCGGAGCCGUAGAACUCGGAACGCUAGUUUCGAGUGAGGCGCUGGUGGGAUACGACCCUCGCUGUGUGAACACUCUAACCCGCACCACUUAUCGUGGUGGGAGACAGUGUCAGGUAGGCAGUUUGACUGGGGCGGUCGCCUCCUAAAAAGUAACGGAGGCGCCCAAAGGUUCUCUCAGAAUGGUUGGAAAUCAUUCGUCGAGUGUAAAGGCAGAAGAGAGCUUGACUGCGAGACAGACAGGUCGAGCAGGGACGAAAGUCGGGCUUAGUGAUCCGGUGGUACCGUAUGGAAGGGCCAUCGCUCAACGGAUAAAAGCUACCCUGGGGAUAACAGGCUUAUCUCCCCCAAGAGUCCACAUCGACGGGGAGGUUUGGCACCUCGAUGUCGGCUCAUCGCAUCCUGGGGCUGUAGUCGGUCCCAAGGGUUGGGCUGUUCGCCCAUUAAAGCGGUACGCGAGCUGGGUUCAGAACGUCGUGAGACAGUUCGGUCCCUAUCCGUCGCGGGCGUAGGAAAUUUGAGAGGAGCUGUCCUUAGUACGAGAGGACCGGGAUGGACAUACCGCUGGUGUACCAGUUGUGCCGCCAGGCGCAUCGCUGGGUAGCUAUGUAUGGAUGAGAUAAACGCUGAAAGCAUCUAAGUGUGAAACUCGCCUCAAGAUGAGAUUUCCCAUUCCUAUAUGGAAGUAAGACCCCUGAGAGAUGAUCAGGUAGAUAGGCUGGAAGUAGCAGCGCCGCGAGGCGUGGAGCGGACCAGUACUAAUCGGUCGAGGACUUAACCAAG